GAAGGUUUAAACCUGAAGGUGGGUGGAGCCUUUCUGUUCAAGGUUUGUAAACUCUUUCUUGUUUUUUUCUCCUGCUUGUUUCUUUCAAACUCCACAAGUUUUGUGUUAUGUAUUUGCUUCGUUUGUCUUAAUCUUAAUCAGGUACAGUUUUUAUAUCAUUUUAUGUUCUCUAUAAUGCAGCUUAGAAAUGUUGAAACAUUGUGAAACAUUCUGCCUUGGUAAAUAUAUGUAACCUUGUCCAGCAUACUCCUAAUUUCCUGCAGCAAGUCCCCAAGCUUACAUCUGUAAGGUGUUACAUUACGCACAUAAGAUCCUGACAUUCAUUGCCCUGAUUGGAUGGAUUCUGUUAAGUUGCUUCUGACAGAAUUAGGUCCCCAUCGGAAAUUGACUGGGGUAAGACCGGUUCAGAUGGAGGUAAAGCAAGAACUGUGGCAUUAAUUCCUUUAGCUGUGCUGAUGCAAGCUCCUACUGGAUCCUGGACUGUGUAAAUCCAGCAGCCUCUGUUCUUAUUUGAACACUUUCAUUUAUACACUUUUAAACAUGUAGUCACAGUGUGGAUAAUAAACAGAUAUUCUGAGGAAGGUUAUCCCUACUGUUUUUCAUAAGUUAAAGUAUCUGAAGUACUAAUCUAAUAAAUGCAGUAGGAAAUUAUAUAUUUUUUUGUGUUUUGGCAACAUGAGCAACCACAGUAAGAGCUGUUAUUUUACUGAUUUACAAAGGUUCCUUCAGUCCAGAAAAUUUUAGAUGAUGAUAACCAUGAAUCUUUGAACUCAGAUAAAACAGCAAGAACAAUUUUUGAAAUAAUAUUGAAAGGGAAAACUCCAGAACAGGGAUUGCUGGUCUCCUCCAGCACCUCACCCCCUCUCAAAAAACAAAUCCACAACUGUGACAUUCCAUUCAUACGUUUCACUGAUGUUGUGGGUAUUACCUGCUUUAGCUAUGUGUAGCACCACAUAUCAUGCUUCAUUUGCCUUGUCGUUUGCAGUACUAACACUACUGUCUGCUGUAACCUCAGUUAAUUUAGCCCUUUGUUUACAAAGAAAAAACCUCUUGGAGUUUUGCAAACCCUGUGGAAGUGGAGUAUCUUCAGAACCAACCCAAGAAAAUACCAACUUUAAAUAAUUAUGGUCAUACUUGCUCCGAAUUUUUAGUUACUUUGCUUGGCCCGGUCUCCUUACUCACUGUAACUUUAGUUACUAAGAACCAAUCAAUUUGGAAAGUUUGAUAAAAAUUUCAAAAUUACAUUUUCUGGUUUAUCUUUUUCAUUAUGUUGUGCACCCCAUGAAGCUCUCUGGUGACCCCCAGAGGGGGGCACGCCCCACACUUUGUAAAACCCUGCUCUACAAUUUAUGAUUCUGCCCCAUUAAUUUUUUCCCUCAAAUACUCCUGUUGUGGCAGACCUAUAAUUUUCACUCUAUAAAGUUGUAAAAUAUUUUCUCUUGUGACUGUGGUGAAACCUAACCAUGGUUCUGUAUGGAGUACCUGCUGUUGAAGGAAAUAUCCAAUUAGCUACCAGCUGCUGAACUAAGUUGGCUGCUGGAAGUUUAGUGGAACAUAGAACUGAAAGGGAAAGCAUUUCUCAGGUGAGCUCACUUCAUUUCAGUACUAAUAUUUUGUCCUUGUUAAUUUGUGUGAUUAAUUUAUGAAGUUAUAGAUUAAAGAUAGUCUUCUGCAAUGCAUGCGCUUAUUUCUCUGGCUGAACUUGCCACAAAAUUAGUAGGAAAAAUACUUAUCAUGUAUCAAUUAAUAAUUUCAUAAAUUAUUUUAACCAAACAUGGUUUCACAUGCACUGAAAGGCAUAUCAUGAACACUUUGUAAUGGUACUUUUCUAUAAUGGUUCCAGUACCUUCAAGAUAAGAUGAGGUGUAUUAUUGAGGCCCUGUGCUGAAAAAACAAACAAAAAAACAAAAAGCAUUGCUGUUUGAUAUAGCAAAAUAACAGUUAACAAGCUUUCUUUAGCAUUUAGUAAAUGCGUCCGCAGUACAGCUAGCUGAUAGAGGAAGUUAGAAAGCUAUAAGUGCCCAUGAGUCAAAUGAAGACUCAGAGAAUAACACUCAGAAUCAUUUAUUAAUCUCAGUAUGAAAGUUUUAAUAGGGCAGAUCAUUUUUGAAGUGUGCUAUUUACUUUUUAACAUUAGUACCUUGCUUUGAUUAAGCUGUUCACUACUAGUUUGAAAACUUUUCUAGGAUGAUGCAAUGGGUCAAAUGUUACCAAUGAAGUGCGAGGGACUGGCGGGGAUCAGGAGGGUGUUAUUAUACAAUGAUAUUUAUUUCUAAAUUAAGGUGUAAUAUCGAUAUAAUCAAGUCAAAAGUGUAAAGCAGUUUGGUUACUGCAAAGACCCAAAGCUUAGCUAUAGCAGCGGAAAGGAAUUUUCUGCAUUAAAUAAAAAAAAUUUUAAUGUGUUGUUGAGUCAUUAGUACCCAACAACAUAUUGAGUGUUGUUGAGUACUAACAACACAUUAUUGUGUUGUUUAGGUAACACUACAUUUAGUGGGUAAAUUUAGUGUUACCCACUAAAUUUGGACUUUUUUCCAACAUGCUAUGCUUGAAUCUUUUACUCUGGCAGAUCAAUUCUUGAUCAGAACUAUGCCUUGUGAGGCUUGUCAGUAUCCACGAGUCUUCUGAGGCAUUUUGCUGCCCUCAAGUGGCCGUAAAACUGUUAAUUGUAGAUUACAUUAUGAAAUGCAUAUGGUUUUAUCAACCUUGUUUAAGCAACAAACUGUGCAAAUAUUUGAAGAAAUGUUAGAAGUAUUUCAAUUACCAGGCAUUGACUGCUUCAGUUGUUGUUCCAGUGUGUUGUAAUCAAAUAAUGCUAUUGCAUGUCUUCCUUACAUACAAUUCUUAACUAACAUCAAUAUGUGUGUGUCUAUUGCAGUUUUACAAGUUUGUGCCAUCUAUAACAUCUAUUUUAUUAUAUUAUUUAGCUAGGCACAGCAGAUGUACAACUGUUCUCCUUUCUACAACUCAUCUGAAAGUGACCAAUUGUAAAGUGGUUCAGCACUGAGGUCCUACGCUGGAUAUAACAGGAUAUAACCUCAGAAACGAACAUCAAAUAUGUAAUACUUCAUUGGGUUCCAUCUGCUACAAAUUUCUAUACCCUCGACAUGUUGGCAUAUCUGGUGCUCCAACAAGUUUGCAUUUCAGUGAAAGAGGCUGAUUGCUGAUACAGCAAGGUUCCCUGUGAAGUGACUCCCUUUGGUUCAACCACAAGGUGCUGUCACAUCAGACGUGAUCAGGAGUUAUUCAUCAAUCACAUCUAGCAGGACUCAACUAUCAUGUCAGGGACGUCUGUUUUGACGAUGCUGUGCUGAGAGUUGAAGUAGACCAUGGACAGAGGCCGGCGCUCAGUGGGGAUGCAGCAUGAA